GGGAACGUGCCCUUCGGUUCGGAAUAACUCAGGGAAACUUGAGCUAAUACCGGAUACGCCCUUUUGGGGAAAGGCUUGACUGCCGAAGGAUCGGCCCGCGUCUGAUUAGCUNGUUGGUGAGGUUAUGGCUCACCAAGGCGACGAUCAGUAGCUGGUCUGAGAGGAUGAUCAGCCACACUGGGACUGAGACACGGCCCAGACUCCUACGGGAGGCAGCAGUGGGGAAUAUUGGACAAUGGGGGCAACCCUGAUCCAGCCAUGCCGCGUGAGUGAUGACGGCCUUAGGGUUGUAAAGCUCUUUUCUCCGGGACGAUAAUGACGGUACCGGAGGAAUAAGCCCCGGCUAACUUCGUGCCAGCAGCCGCGGUAAUACGAAGGGGGCUAGCGUUGCUCGGAAUCACUGGGCGUAAAGGGCGCGUAGGCGGCUGAUUUAGUCGAGGGUGAAAGCCCGUGGCUCAACCACGGAAUGGCCUUCGAUACUGAUUGGCUUGAGACCGGAAGAGGACAGCGGAACUGCGAGU
rnacentral:rRNA from 1 species